rnacentral:rRNA from 1 species
GACGAACGCUGGCGGCGUGCUUAACACAUGCAAGUCGAACGGGAUUUCCCAGACGAAGUUUUCGGAUGGAAUUUACGUAUGCUUAUGGGCAAAGGGUGAAUUACCGCGGGGAUACCCGGCCUUGACCGUGGGAAUAACGCAGAAAAAUUUCCGCUAAAACCGCAAAAAACCACGAAACCCCUGGUUGAACGGUUAAAAAUUUUUUGGGCAUAAAAGGGAUCGCGUCUGAUUUACUUUGUGGUGAGAUAACAGGCUCCCCAGGGGAACAAUAGUAACCCGGCUGAAAAGAUGAAACGGCCCCUUGGAAAUGAAAACCCGGCCCAACUCCUACCGGAAGGCGCAGUGGGGAAUAUUUGAACAUGGGGGAAACCCUGGAGCCACCGACCCCCGUGAACUAAAAAAGUAUUCGUAUAUGUAAGUUCUGUUCUAUGGGAAAAAAAUGGACGUACCAUGAAAAAAAGCUCCGGCUUAAUACGUGCCCGCCGCCGCGGUAAUACGUAUGGAGCGAGCGUUGUCCGGAAUUAUCUGGCGUAAAGGGUACGCCAGAGGUUUAAUAAGUCCAAAGUUGAAGAUCGUGGCUCCACCCCGUGAAUUGCUUGUAGACUGAUUUUGUUGAGUAUGGGAGAGGAAAGUGGAAAUCUCAGUGUGUUGGUGAAAUACGUAUAUAUUUGGAGAAGUACCCCUGACGCAAGCGACUUUCUGGGCACGACCUGUGACUUUGAUGCUCGAACGUGUGGAGCGCACACGAGUAUAUAUCCUAGUAUACUACGAGGGAAUUUUCCACUGUGUAUAUCGCUUAUCUCUAUCCCGUACAUCUCGGGGGGGGCCCCGUAUCCCCCUUUUUUGCUCUUUUUGAGGGGGGUAUUUAUA